UUAUCUUCAUCUCCUCUUGGUCCCUUGCAUGUUCUGUUUCCUGCAGUUUCUUUUACAUGUCAUCCAUUUGUGAUCGAAGCUCGGCAAAUAAAUUCGGAAUAGUCUAACGACCGUAUCAAUGAUCAGAAUAUGGUCACAAUCAGAACAGCAAAGAUUACUAAAUUAAAGGGCAAGCUAAUUAUUGUAACAGCAAAACAGUAAAAGCAAGAUUUAAUAACUACUAAAGAUAAAGGCUAAAGGACACAACCAUACUAAUACUAGAGCUCAAAUGGAAAACAUGCUGAAGCAUACAAGCUGAUGGUUCAUCAUAUCAGUCAUGGAUGAUUGAAACAGUGAGCUCAAUAAAAUCAAUGCUGCCCCGCUACAUAUGUAAAGAAAUGAUUAUCCAAUAUUAUUACUGCUGUAUGACAGUGACCCUCUAAACAUUCUAAGCUGAGCUUCCUCGAUGCAAUGCUACUGGUGGCCUAUCAAAACAGCAACAAAGACAUAAACUAGCUGUUGCUCUCCACCGAAAGAACUGCAGGAAUGGUAAUACAGGCAGCUACAGAGCUAGGCAAUUAAUGAGUCCAAGUUCCUAUAAACCAAUGAGCUGUAGCAGGGGAAUUAUAAAGCUACUGCAACACUGAUCCUCACCAGAUGCUGCUGCUCAUCGAGUCAAUCGAUCUCUGAACAAACCUAAUGGGCUAGGCAAUCGAUCUCUGUAUGAGUCCAUCAAUUCCCUCCUUCCUAGUCCUAGCUGCACGAAGCAUUCAUACAGGUCAAGAUUAUUUUUACUAAAGCAAGCAGCAAGGCCAUCUCAAGGUAAUUAAAAAGCACUAAUAUAUUACCAUGCAGAUAAGACUAGUAUGGAAUAAGAUAAAUCAAGCAUUCAUAAAGGGUGGUGAGGAUGCAUUCCAGACUGCACUGACCAUCACCAAAGACAUAAGAAAAUAUAAGCAAGAAAUUAAAAAGAUGGGUGCAAAAACUUAAGACAAUGCAAAAACUAUUUAAGAAACUACUGUCCUAAGCUUUGCAUAAGUCGUAUUCUGCAACAAAAGCCAGUGAAUGUUUCAGUUAAAUCAACCAUAGAUACAUUAAUCAUCAUAGUGUAACCGAAGCCAAAUGUUGAUUGUUAUCAACAUAAAAUAGCAUAAGACAAUUGUAAGAGAUAGACAUCAUCAACUGUAAUUCAUCAAACAUAUCAAGGAUCAGCAACAGCCCAUGGUAGGACUGGAGCAACAGGAGCAUUCGCAAUUAAGUUGAUAUUCUUACAAAGUAGACCGAGGCAGCUUAUAGAGUGAAUUUCAGUGAUCUUGUUUUCCUCUAACUGUGCUCUGCGCUAGCAUCAAAGAAUUCUGCAGAGAAUGAGCUUUUGCAGGUAGGAGCAAUGUUAACAUUUGUUUGUGCACAGUGUUAGUACUCUGCGCUAGCAUAAAAAAAAUAUAAUGUUUGCCUUCGAUAUGCAUAUCUAAAUAGAGUGGGAUUAUUCGUGAGCCAGAGGUAGCAUGGACAUUAAAAUUAUGUUUACAGGAAGAUACAAACAAUCAAAUCCCCAUGCUUGUUUAAAACUCAGCAUACUUGCAUCAUAUUGCAACAAAAAAUGAAGGCGCUAAUCGCUGAAGAUGAAGGAUACUGGCAAGAAAGAUGCUAAUGUAUGCAAGGAAAUGAUAAUUUGAGUUGACCAGGCGAAGAAAAUAUAAUUCAGAACUGUAGCAUAUCAGGGUAAAAUACAUAUGAUCGAAUUCCAGUGAGGCCACUUUAUAUGUGAACUACAAGAGCUAUAUUAGAUCUCAAGUGAUUAGAUCUCUUUACAUUAGGUUACUUUUUAAUUAAUUAUUUAUUGCACAGCAAUGAAUUAACAGCCAUAAGAUCCAUUGCAAUCAGACAUUAGGUUGACAAAAAAAUUCCUAUUUCAUAAAAGAUGGCACAAUUUAAAUGUAUGCAUUUGGGCCCUA
rnacentral:lncRNA from 1 species